CGAUCUGAGGGUGAUCUGGCUGUGACAUCUGUCACCCCAUUGAUCACUAGGGUUGAUUGAGCUGAUCUGGCUGGCUAGGCAGGGGUCCCCUUCCUCCCUCACUGCUCCAUGUGCAUCCCUCCCAAAGCUGCACACUCACUUGAAGAGGACGACUUUCCCUUCUAGAGGAGGACUGUUUUUUGGUCAAGGGUAUGUGAGUAGCUGCGCUCCCAUGUUAGAGCCUCCAAACAUGCUCUCAAGGGGCAUAUUGUUUUUUCUUCAAAUCCUUUUUUUAAAAUUCAGUUUUAUUGACAUAUAAUCACAAAC
rnacentral:snRNA from 1 species